AGGAUGAAUGCUGGCGGCGCGCCUAACACAUGCAAGUCGAGCGGUAAGGCCCUUAGGGGUACACGAGCGGCGGACGGCUGAGUAACGCGUGGGAACAUGCCCCAAAGUGAGGAAUAACUGCCCGAAAGGGUAGCUAAUGCCGCAUAUGAUCUUAGGAUUAAAGGAUUUAUCCGCUUUGGGAGUGGCCUGCGUACGAUUAGAUAGUUGGUGAGGUAAAGGCUCACCAAGUCUACGAUCGUUAACUGUUCUGAGAGGAUGAUCAGUCAGACUGGAACUGAGACACGGUCCAGACUCCUACGGGAGCAGCAGUGAGGAAUCUUCCACAAUGGGCGAAAGCCUGAUGGAGCGACGCCGCGUGCAGGAUGAAGGCCUUAGGGUUGUAAACUGCUUUUAUAAGUGAAGAAUAUGACGGUAACUUAUGAAUAAGCACCGGCUAACUACGUGCCAGCAGCCGCGGUAA
rnacentral:rRNA from 1 species